GAUGAACGCUGGCGGCGUGCCUAAUACAUGCAAGUCGAGCGAAUGGAUUAAGAGCUUGCUCUUAUGAAGUUAGCGGCGGACGGGUGAGUAACACGUGGGUAACCUGCCCAUAAGACUGAGAUAACUCCGGGAAACCGGGGCUAAUACCGGAUAACAUUUUGAACCGCAUGGUUCGAAAUUGAAAGGCGGCUUCGGCUGUCACUCAUGGAUGGACCCGCGUCGCAUUAGCUAGUUGGUGAGGUAACGGCGCACCAAGGCAACGAUGCGUAGCCGACCUGAGAGGGUGAUCGGCCACACUGGGACUGAGACACGGCCCAGACUCCUACGGGAGGCAGCAGUAGGGAAUCUUCCGCAAUGGACGAAAGUCUGACGGAGCAACGCCGCGUGAGUGAUGAAGGCUUUCGGGUCGUAAAACUCUGUUGUUAGGGAAGAACAAGUGCUAGUUGAAUAAGCUGGCACCUUGACGGUACCUAACCAGAAAGCCACGGCUAACUACGUGCCAGCAGCCGCGGUAA
rnacentral:rRNA from 1 species